UCUCGAGAAGAACCUGGGCGAUCAAUAC
rnacentral:piRNA from 1 species